rnacentral:rRNA from 1 species
CCCUUAGAUGUCCUGGGCCGCACGCGCGCUACACUGAUGCAUGCAACGAGUUUAUAACCUUGGCCUGAAAGGUCUGGGUAAUCUUUUGAACGUGCAUCGUGAUAGGGAUAGAUUAUUGCAAUUGUUAAUCUUGAACGAGGAAUUCCUAGUAAACGCGAGUCAUCAGCUCGCAUUGAUUACGUCCCUGCCCUUUGUACACACCACCCGUCGCACCUACCGAUUGAAUGGUUCGGUGAAGAUCUCGGACUUCGAUAUUUAUUCUUUAUUGAGUUUAUAUUGUGGGAAGUUAUCUAAACCUCAUCAUUUAGAGGAAGGUGAAGUCGUAACA